GAUGAACGCUGGCGGCGUGCUUAACACAUGCAAGUCGAACGAAGCAUUUAAGACAGAUUACUUCGGUUUGAAGUCUUUUAUGACUGAGUGGCGGACGGGUGAGUAACGCGUGGGUAACCUGCCUCAUACAGGGGGAUAGCAGCUGGAAACGGCUGGUAAUACCGCAUAAGCGCACAGUACCACAUGGUACAGUGUGAAAAACUCCGGUGGUAUGAGAUGGACCCGCGUCUGAUUAGCUUGUUGUCGGGGUAACGGCCCACCAAGGCGACGAUCAGUAGCCGAACUGAGAGGGUGACCGGCCACAUUGGGACUGAGACACGGCCCAGACUCCUACGGGAGGCAGCAGUGGGGAAUAUUGCACAAUGGAGGAAACUCUGAUGCAGCGACGCCGCGUGAGUGAAGAAGUAGUUCGCUAUGUAAAGCUCUAUCAGCAGGGAAGAUAGUGACGGUACCUGACUAAGAAGCGCCGGCUAAAUACGUG
rnacentral:rRNA from 1 species